rnacentral:rRNA from 2 species
CUCUCGGCAAUGGAUAUCUCGGCUCUUGCAUCGAUGAAGAACGUAGUGAAAUGCGAUACUUGGUGUGAAUUGCAGAAUCUCGUGAACCAUUGAGUCUUUGAACGCAAGUUGUGCCCGAGGCCUUGUGGUCGAGGGCACGCCUGCUUGGGUGUCAUGAC